AAAAGCAGGGGAUCGCAAGACCUUGCGCUCUUGGAGCGGCCGAUGUCUGAUUAGCUAGUUGGUGAGGUAAAGGCUUACCAAGGCGACGAUCAGUAGCUGGUCUGAGAGGACGACCAGCCACACUGGGACUGAGACACGGCCCAGACUCCUACGGGAGGCAGCAGUGGGGAAUUUUGGACAAUGGGGGAAACCCUGAUCCAGCCAUGCCGCGUGAGUGAAGAAGGCCUUCGGGUUGUAAAGCUCUUUCAGCCGGAACGAAACGGUCACGGUUAAUACCCNNGACUACUGACGGUACCGGAAGAAGAAG
rnacentral:rRNA from 1 species